GUUUCUUCUCUGCCUUUUGGCUAAGGUCAAGUGUAGAAUCAGUUUAACAUAUGAUAUGUCUGUCAGUUACAGUAACUUAUACUUAGCCAUUCUGUGGAGAUGUUUUUCUUGCAAGCAGAUGAGCACAGACCCUGUUUUGUGGGCGAAGUAC
ensembl:snRNA U2 U2 spliceosomal RNA